UACGGGGGGGGGCAAGUGUUGUUCGGAAUUACUGGGCGUAAAGGGCUCGUAGGCGGCCAACUAAGUCGGAUGUGAAAUCCCCCAAGCUUAACUUGGGAACUGCAUCCGAUACUGGAUGGCUUGAAUCCGGGAGAGGGAUGCAGAAUUCCAGGUGUAGCGGUGAAAUGCGUAGAUAUCUGGAGGAAUACCGGUGGCGAAGGCGGCAUCCUGGACCGGCAUUGACGCUGAGGAGCGAAAGCUAGGGGAGCAAACGGG
rnacentral:rRNA from 1 species